CGAUAUUCCUGUACUGCAGUAUAACAGAACUGUGGGGACACGUAAGGAGAGCGGGAGCCGGGAAUGGAAAGCCCGGUACAAGCGAGGUACCAGUACGGUAGGAAAAUCCGCCGUGCAAUGGGAAGACGUGAUGUGGAGUGAAAUAUAGUAACGAGGCCCGUGAGCCAUGCGUCAAGAAUAGCCGCUAUUGUUUAUACUGUACCCGUACCGUAAACCGACACAGGUGGAUGAGGAGAGAAUCCUAAGGCCGGCGGAAGAAGUAUUGCCAAGGAACUCGGCAAAAUGGCCCCGUAACUUAGGGAGAAGGGGUGCCUGCGAGAGCAGGCCGCAGAGAAUAGGCUCAAGCAACUGUUUAGCAAAAACACAGGUCUAUGCGAAACCGAAAGGUGAGGUAUAUGGGCUGACGCCUGCCCGGUGCUGGAAGGUUAAGAGGAGAGGUUAGACGCAAGUCGAAGCUUUGAAUUUAAGCCCCAGUAAACGGCGGCCGUAACGAUAACGGUCCUAAGGUAGCGAAAUUCCUUGUCGGGUAAGUUCCGACCCGCACGAAAGGCGUAAUGAUUUGAGCGCUGUCUCGGCAAUACAUCCGGUGAAAUUGAAGUGCCAGUGAAGAUGCUGGCUACCCGCGCCAGGACGGAAAGACCCCAUGGAGCUUUACUCCAGUUUGGCACUGGGGUCCGGUGUUGCAUGUACAGGAUAGGUGGGAGGCUGAGAGAUAGUGACGUCAGUUGCUAUGGAGCCGCUGUUGGGAUACCGCCCUUGUGAUAUUGGGCUUCUAACCAGCCGCCGUGAACCGGCGGUGGGACAAUGCCCGGCGGGGAGUUUGACUGGGGCGGUCGCCUCCGAAAGGGUAUCGGAGGCGCCCAAAGGUUCCCUCAGAAUGGACGGAAACCAUUCGAAGAGUGCAAAGGCAGAAGGGAGCUUGACUGCGACACCGACGGGUGGAGCAGGUACGAAAGUAGGGCUUAGUGAUCCGGUGGUAUUAAGUGGGAAUGCCAUCGCUCAACGGAUAAAAGCUACCCUGGGAUACCAGGCUUAUCACUCCCAAGAGUUCACAUCGACGGAGUGGUUUGGCACCUCGAUGUCGGCUCAUCGCAUCCUGGGGCUGUAGUAGGUCCCAAGGGUUGGGCUGUUCGCCCAUUAAAGCGGUACGCGAGCUGGGUUCAGAACGUCGUGAGACAGUUCGGUCCCUAUCCGGCGUGGGCGCAGGAUAUCUGAGAGGAGCUGUCCUUAGUACGAGAGGACCGGGAUGGACGGACCGCUGGUGGACCGGUUGGCUUGCCAAAGCCAUGGCCGGGUAGCCAAGUCCGGAAGGGAUAAACGCUGAAGGCAUCUAAGCGUGAAGCCCCCCUCAAGAUGAGAUAUCCCAUUCUUUAAGAAGUAAACCCCCUUGAAGACGACGAGGUAGAUAGGGCAGAGGUGGAAGUGUGGUAACACAUGGAGCUGACUGUUACUAAUCGGGUGAGGGCUUGACC
rnacentral:rRNA from 1 species